ensembl:lncRNA
UUCUUGAUCCGUAAAAGGAUCUUCAGAUGUUUUCAGAGGUUCAUCUGUCAGCGUGACGAAGAUGAUUCAGAAAACAGGGAUCCUGAAGCUGCUGUCCAAAUGAUCUGAUGCUCCUGAUUCACUGAAUCAAUCUCAGUGUGAAUCGACUCACGUCAUUAUUUACUCAAACGUCACUGUGAUCUUUGACAUGAAGAUGAUGAAGGGAGUUUGUGUUCAUUCUGAGCUUCUCAACUCUUAUUUAUUCUCGUUCGUCCUCAACUGUAAUGCAAAUGAAUACAUGAGAUAUAAAACACUGCAAGAUCUUACAAUCAAAA